GACCGGGUUGGACUAACCGCUGGUGUACCGGUUGUCGUGUCAGCGGCACUGCCGGGUAGCUAUGUUGGGACGGGAUAAGCGCUGAAAGCAUCUAAGCGCGAAACCCACCUCGAGAUGAGACUUCCAUAAAGGGACGUCAGAGAUGAUGACGUUGAUAGGCUGCAGGUGUAAAGUCAGAGAUGGCAAAGCUGAGCAGUACUAAUUACCCGUUCGCUUCAGAACA
rnacentral:rRNA from 1 species